ACUCGCGGUAUCAACUGCGCCGCAAUAGAUGCAAGGAGGAUUGGGAGGGGACAACACAGGAACGAGUUCACAGUGGUUUCAUACCGAUAUCCGUAUCCGUAAAUUGUUAAAUAGCUUUUACGGAUCAAGGCUAACAAGGCCUACUCAAUUAAUUAACGAUUUGGUCGACAUACCGGGACCGAAAGUACCUGAUGCGAUCGGCUUAAUCUGCUUUCGAAAUAUCUCAUUGGUUGAAUAGCACGUGAACUUACCUGAAACAAAGAAGAAAAUAAGCUCAGACAUUCACUCCUGAAAUUCAUUAAAGGACACAUGGCAGGGACAGGGUCGUACUCGUGCUCCUAUAUGCAGAGAAUGGAGAGCUGGAACUGCAGAGAAAACACAAUUAAUAUAUUUAUAGGAAAUAUUUAUGGGACAGCUCAAAAAGCAGGAAAGCAACUGGCAAGAGACUUUUUUAAUUUUAACAACUGUAGUUGCAGUAUUUAACUUAAUCCUGCAUUAGUG